GCUGAUAUGGCCGAGUCGUUAAGGCGAGUGAUUUGAAUUACCAAAUUCAAACAUCACUUGGGCAUUGCCCGCGUAGGUUCAAAUCCUGCUGUCAGCG